rnacentral:rRNA from 1 species
CAAAGGGAGCGAUUCCGGCAACGGAUGGGCAUGCGUGACAUUAGCUAGUUGGCGGGGCAACGGCCCACCAAGGCGACGAUGUCUAGGGGUUCUGAGAGGAAGGUCCCCCACACUGGUACUGAGACACGGACCAGACUCCUACGGGAGGCAGCAGUGAGGAAUAUUGGUCAAUGGGCGCGAGCCUGAACCAGCCAAGUCGCGUGAGGGAUGACGGCCCUACGGGUUGUAAACCUCUUUUGUCGGGGAGCAAAUUCCGCCACGCGUGGCGGAGUCGAGAGUACCCGAAGAAAAAGCAUCGGCUAACUCCGUGCCAGCAGCCGCGGUAAUACGGAGGAUGCGAGCGUUAUCCGGAUUUAUUGGGUUUAAAGGGUGCGUAGGCGGACUGUCAAGUCAGCGGUAAAAUACGGGGGCUCAACCUCCGCCCGCCGUUGAAACUGACGGUCUUGAGUGGGCGAGAAGUAUGCGGAAUGCGUGGUGUAGCGGUGAAAUGCAUAGAUAUCACGCAGAACUCCGAUUGCGAAGGCAGCAUACCGGCGCCCAACUGACGCUGAAGCACGAAAGCGUGGGUAUCGAACAGGAUUAGAUACCCUGGUAGUCCACGCAGUAAACGAUGAAUACUAGCUGUCCGGGGCGAAUGAGCCCUGG